AACGAACGCUGGCGGCAGGCCUAACACAUGCAAGUCGAGCGAGACCUUCGGGUCUAGCGGCGGACGGGUGAGUAACGCGUGGGAACGUGCCCUUUUCUGCGGAAUGGCCUCGGGAAACUGAGCGUAAUACCGCAUACGCCCUUUGGGGGAAAGAUUUAUCGGAAAAGGAUCGGCCCGCGUUGGAUUAGGUAGUUGGUGGGGUAAUGGCCUACCAAGCCUACGAUCCAUAGCUGGUUUGAGAGGAUGAUCAGCCACACUGGGACUGAGACACGGCCCAGACUCCUACGGGAGGCAGCAGUGGGGAAUCUUAGACAAUGGGGGCAACCCUGAUCUAGCCAUGCCGCGUGAGUGAUGAAGGCCUUAGGGUUGUAAAGCUCUUUCAGCUGGGAAGAUAAUGACGGUACCAGCAGAAGAAGCCCCGGCUAACUCCGUG
rnacentral:rRNA from 1 species